rnacentral:rRNA from 1 species
UAUGCUUGUCUCAAAGAUUAAGCCAUGCAUGUCUAAGUAUAAGCACUUGUACUGUGAAACUGCGAAUGGCUCAUUAAAUCAGUUAUCGUUUAUUUGAUUGUACUUUACUACAUGGAUACCUGUGGUAAUUCUAGAGCUAAUACAUGCGAAAAAUCCCAACUUCUGGAAGGGAUGUAUUUAUUAGAUUAAAAACCAAUGCGAAUCUUCGGGUUCGUUUUCUUGGUGAUUCAUGAUAACUUUUCGAAUCGCAUGGCCUAGCGCCGGCGAUAUUUCAUUCAAAUUUCUGCCCUAUCAACUGUCGAUGGUAAGGUAGUGGCUUACCAUGGUUAUAACGGGUGACGGAGAAUUAGGGUUCGAUUCCGGAGAGGGAGCCUGAGAAACGGCUACCACAUCUAAGGAAGGCAGCAGGCUCGAAAAUUACCCAAUCCCAAUUCGGGGAGGUAGUGACAAGAAAUAACGAUACGGGGUCUUAAUAGGUCUCGCAAUUGGAAUGAGUACAAUUUAAAUCCUUUAACGAGGAUCAAUUGGAGGGCAAGUCUGGUGCCAGCAGCCGCGGUAAUUCCAGCUCCAAUAGCGUAUAUUAAAGUUGUUGCAGUUAAAAAGCUCGUAGUUGGAUUUCGGAGUGGGCCAGUUGGUCCGCCGCAAGGUGUGUUACUGACUGGUUUGCUCUUCUUCGCAAAGACUGCGUGUGCUCUUCGUUGAGUGUGCGUAGGAUUUACGACGUUUACUUUGAAAAAAUUAGAGUGUUCAAAGCAGGCUAUUGCUUGAAUACAUGAGCAUGGAAUAAUGGAAUAGGACUUUGGUCCCAUUUUGUUGGUUUCUAGGACCGAAGUAAUGAUUAAGAGGGACAAUUGGGGGCAUCCGUAUUUCGUUGUCAGAGGUGAAAUUCUUGGAUUUACGAAAGACGAACAACUGCGAAAGCACUUGCCAAGAGUGUUUUCAUUAAUCAAGAACGAAAGUUAGAGGAUCGAAGACGAUCAGAUACCGUCCUAGUUCUAACCAUAAACGAUGUCGACUAGGGAUCAGCGGGCGUUAUCGUACGACCCCGUUGGCACCUUACGGGAAACCAAAGUUUCUGGAUUCCGGGGGAAGUAUAGUCGCAAGGCCGAAACUUAAAGGAAUUGACGGAAGGGCACCACCAGGAGUGGAGCC